rnacentral:rRNA from 1 species
CAAGUCGGACGGUAGCACAGAGGAGCUUGCUCCUCGGGUGACGAGUGGCGGACGGGUGAGUAAUGUCUGGGGAUCUGCCCGAUAGAGGGGGAUAACCACUGGAAACGGUGGCUAAUACCGCAUAACGUCGCAAGACCAAAGAGGGGGACCUUCGGGCCUCUCACUAUCGGAUGAACCCAGAUGGGAUUAGCUAGUAGGCGGGGUAACGGCCCACCUAGGCGACGAUCCCUAGCUGGUCUGAGAGGAUGACCAGCCACACUGGAACUGAGACACGGUCCAGACUCCUACGGGAGGCAGCAGUGGGGAAUAUUGCACAAUGGGCGCAAGCCUGAUGCAGCCAUGCCGCGUGUAUGAAGAAGGCCUUCGGGUUGUAAAGUACUUUCAGCGGGGAGGAAGGCGAUGUGGUUAAUAACCGCAUUGAUUGACGUUACCCGCUGAAGAAGCACCGGCUAACUCCGUGCCAGCAGCCGCGGUAAUACGGAGGGUGCAAGCGUUAAUCGGAAUUACUGGGCGUAGAGCGCACGCAGGCGGUCUGUUAAGUCAGAUGUGAAAUCCCCGGGCUUAACCUGGGAACUGCAUUUGAAACUGGCAGGCUUGAGUCUCGUAGAGGGGGGUAGAAUUCCAGGUGUAGCGGUGAAAUGCGUAGAGAUCUGGAGGAAUACCGG